rnacentral:rRNA from 1 species
UGCGUAGGUGGCCUGGAAAGUUUGAUGUGAAAGCUCGGAGCUUAACUCCGAAAUGGCAUUGAAUACUACUGGGCUUGAGGGUCGGAGGGGAGACUGGAAUUCUCGGUGUAGCAGUGAAAUGCGUAGAUAUCGAGAGGAACACCAGUGGCGAAGGCGAGUCUCUGGACGACCCCUGACACUGAGGCACGAAAGCUGGGAGCAAACA